rnacentral:rRNA from 1 species
GCCUUCAUGAAGCCGGAAUUGCUAGUAAUGGCAGGUCAGCAUACUGCCGUGAAUACGUUCCCGGGCCUUGUACACACCGCCCGUCACACCAUGAGAGUUGGGAAUACCCGAAGCCUGUGAGCUAACUAAUAGAGGCAGCAGUCGAAGGUAGAAUCAAUGAUUGGGGUGAAGUCGUAACAAGGUAUC